rnacentral:misc_RNA from 1 species
AAAAUGCGAUAAGUAGCGUGAAUUGCAGACGCUUUGAACGCCGAAAUUUCGAACGCACAUUGCGCCAUAGGAUUCCUAACCUAUGGCACAUCUGGUUGAGGGUCGUGAUCAAACACAGACAAGGAUUGAGUCUGUAGUAAAGCUAAUUGGUGGAUCAUCAUGCCGACACAAUGCCUAGUUGUCGGCGGUGUUCUGCCAUCAUGCAUUAGAGGGUGCCCAGAUUGAAAGGGUGCUUCCUUACCACGCGGACGGGCAGCCAACGACUGUAUUAGAGGGGUCGGCCGUCAGGUAUUUGUUUCA